rnacentral:rRNA from 1 species
CGGACGGGUGAGGAAUACAUCGGAAUCUGCCUUGUUGUGGGGGAUAACGUAGGGAAACUUACGCUAAUACCGCAUACGACCUUUGGGUGAAAGCGGGGGACUCGCAAGGGCCCCGCGCGAUUGGAUGAGCCGAUGUCCGAUUAGCUAGUUGGCGGGGUAAUGGCCCACCAAGGCGACGAUCGGUAGCUGGUCUGAGAGGACGACCAGCCACACUGGAACUGAGACACGGUCCAG